UUCCGGUUGAUCCUGCCAGAGGUUACUGCUAUCGAGGUUCGACUAAGCCAUGCGAGUCGAAUGUAGCAAUACAUGGCGUACUGCUCAGUAACACGUGGACAACCUACCCUUAGGAUGGGGAUAAACCCGGGAAACUAGGUAUAAUACCCAAUAGAUCUGGUCUGCUGGAAUGCUUCCAGAUUUAAAACUCCGGUGCCUAAGGACGGGUCUGCGGCCUAUCAGGUUGUAGUGGGUGUAGUGUACCUACUAGCCUACGACGGGUACGGGUUGUGAGAGCAAGAGCCCGGAGAUGGAUUCUGAGACACGAAUCCAGGCCCUGCGGGGUGCAGCAGGCGCGAAAACUUUACAAUGCCGGCAACGGCGAUAAGGGGACCUCGAGUGCCAGGUUACAAAUCUGGCUGUCGCGAUGCCUAAAAAGCAUUGCAUAGCAAGGGCCGGGCAAGACCGGUGCCAGCCGCCGCGGUAACACCGGCGGCUCGAGAGGUAACCGUUAUUAUUGGGUCUAAAGGGUCUGUAGCCGGCCGGGUAAGUCUCUUGGGAAAUCCAGCAGCUCAACUGUUGGGCUUUCAGGAGAUACUGCCUGGCUCGAGGCCGGGAGAGGUGAGAGGUACUUCAGGGGUAGGGGUGAAAUCUUGUAAUCCUUGAAGGACCACCAGUGGCGAAGGCGUCUCACCAGAACGGACCUGACGGCAAGGGACGAAAGCUACGGGCACGAACCGGAUUAGAUACCCGGGUAGUCCUAGCCGUAAACGAUACUCGCUAGGUGUCGGCCACGGUGCGACCGUGGUCGGUGCCGUAGGGAAGCCGUGAAGCGAGCCACCUGGGAAGUACGGCCGCAAGGCUGAAACUUAAAGGAAUUGGCGGGA
rnacentral:rRNA from 1 species